rnacentral:rRNA from 1 species
AUUGAACGCUGGCGGCAGGCCUAACACAUGCAAGUCGAACGAGUGGCGGACGGGUGAGUAAUGCUUGGGAAUCUAGCUUAUGGAUGGGGAUAACUACGGGAAACUGUCGCUAAUACCGCGUACCAUAGGAUGAGCCGAAGUGGGAUUAGGUAGUUGGUGAGGUAAAGGAUCACCAAGCCGACGAUCUCUAGCUGGUAUGCGAGGAUGACCAGCCACACUGGUACUGAGACACGGCCCAGACCCCGACGGGAGGCAGCAGUGGGGAAUAGUGAGCAAUGGGGGCAACCUGACGCAGCGAUGCCGCGUGAAUGAAGAAGGCCUUCGGGUUGUAAAGUUCUUUCGGUAGCGAGGCGUUAACUACAGAAGAAGCACCGGCUAACUCCGUGACAGCAGCCGCGGUAAUAC